rnacentral:rRNA from 1 species
GGCGAACGCUGGCGGCGUGGAUUAGGCAUGCAAGUCGAACGGUAUCAUCCUUUCGGGGGUGAGAGAGUGGCGAACUGGUGAGUAACACGUAGGUUAUCUACCCUCAAGACGGGGACAACCCAGGGAAACUUGGGCUAAUACCGGAUGUGAGCAACUUUUAGUUGUUUGAAAGGUGGCGUAAGCUGUCGCUUGGGGAUGAGCCUGCGUCCUAUUAGUUAGUUGGUGAGGUAACGGCUCACCUAGGCAAUGAUAGGUAGGCGGCCUUAACGGGUGGUCGCCCACACUGGGAUUGAGAUACGGCCCAGACUCCUACGGGAGGCAGCAGUCGAGAAUAGUCUACAAUGGUCGGAAGACUGAUAGUGCGACGCCGCGUGAACGAUGAAUCCCUUCGGGGUUAAAGUUCUUUUAUAUGUGAGCAGUGCUUCUUAUAUUAACAGUAUGGGGAAGAGAUAUUAGCAUAUGAAUAAGCAACGGCUAACUCCGUGCCAGCCAGCCCGACGGUAAACUCGUU